rnacentral:misc_RNA from 1 species
GCAAUCCCUGAUUACCUCAAUGCUUUAGGGGCACCUGGAUUUGCAGCAUGGGUGGGGAUAGUGGUGUUAGGAGAGGCAAAGCCAGGUUUGAAUGUGUUUGUCUCAGCAGCCGCAGGAGGCGUUGGUAUGUUUGCCGGUCAGUUGGCCAAGCUCAGGGGUUGCCGGGUUAUUGGCAGCACAGGAUCUGAUGAUAAGGUAAAGCUUUUAAAGGAAGCAUUUGGAUACGACGACGCUUUCAACUACAAAAGGGAAACAGAUUAUGAUGCUGCUUUAAGCAAGUACUUCCCUAAUGGUAUCGAUGUCUACCUUGACAAUGUUGGUGGUAAAAUGCUGGAGGCUGUCCUUAAUCACAUCAAUAUUGGUGGUCGGAUCCCUCUCUGUGGAAUGAUAUCUGAAUAUAACAAGACAUGGAAAGAAAGAGAUGGUGUGAGAAAUCUUUUGAAUCUAGUUGGUAAAAAUGUGAGGAUGGAAGGGUUUUUGGUGGGUUCAUAUUUAAAUCGUUUUCAAGAUUUUUUGAAGGAGAUGGAGGACUAUCUACUUCAAGGAAAAAUUAUCUCCAAGACAAAGACAUACAAUGGAAUUGAUAGCUUUCUAGAGAGCUUGGGAUCUCUUUUUUCAAGCACUAAUAAUGGAAAAGUUGUCAUUCAAGUCAAAGAGUGAAUGAUAUAUAUACGAAAUUCUUGCCUAAGCCCGG